UGCCAAACACCUGCAGCCAGUGGUAAAGGCUUAAAACCGCCCCAACUUCCUUAUUGCCUUAAAAAUAAAAAGUAAUGAGAAAUGGAUUUCUAUGCUGAGUAAGCAGAACAAAAGCCACCUAGAACUUAGCUUUUAUAUAACGCCCAGAAUUUAAAAAACUCAAAAACCCCAUACUGACCAUCUUGUCCAAAUCGUCAUAUCUGGAGAAUCAAAACAGUUUCGGUAUAAAUCAUUAUGCUCUUGGCUGCCUAAAUUAGGUACAACUUAAUAUAAAGUUCAGUAAUCUUCCCAGUUGUAAAUUCUUCCUGUCCCCUGUAUUCCCCACAAAAACAUGCGUUAGAAAAGCGCUGGGAUUCCUUCUGGUCCCCUGCAAGCUGUUUCUGGUGCAACCACAGUUCGCGAGUAGAAAACCCCGGGCCCGGAGCAGUUCAACUGCCGCCCUGGCCACACCCUGGGCCACGGCUCCUUCCCGGCCUGGACCGAAGAUAAACAAAUCGCGCCUGUUCUCCAGACCUCACAUUAGCGCUGACUCACAGGGUGCCCAGAGCGGGCCUCAGUCGCCUCGCGAAGAAGGAAAAAUGUGCAGAUUUUUCCUCUCACGCGAGGGUCCGCCGUGUCUAGCUGGCCAAUCAUCGGAGGGCUGCGGGAAUCGCACCAAAGUAGGUAAAAAAUGCGGGGUGCCGCCCCAUCCGAGGCUACCGCCAACCUCCCGACCCUGUCCUCCCACCCGCGCGCCCCGCCCAGCCUGCACCCCAGCCCCACCCCCAAAGGCGUGCACACCUGGCCAGGUGGCCGUUUCUAUAUAUGGGCAAUGGCGGUGCAGUGGGCGGGGCGGAGUGUGGCCGAGCCCCCUACGGGGUAAGAGCCGGGCCUCUCCACUUUAGACGUCCUUUGCCCGCCCCUGGCCAGCAGGUGCCAGCCCAAGCUCCGCCUCUCAUCACCUGCAGUUGAGGAAGUAGAACCUGCCCGCGCCCCUCAAGACUGGAGCUGGCGAAGGGGUCCCGCCCCUCAGCCCCGGGCAGGUGAGCGACGCCCCCGCAGUCCGGACUCCAGGCUGCCCCCGGGGCGGGGCAUUGCCGGGCCGGCCCGUCGUGUAGCAACGCGGGCAGUGCGUGACGUGCGCAGGCGCAUUUUGACCCGAGGCGCGCGACCGCCCCUUAGUAGGCUCACGGUGCCGCGUCGGCUCUGCGCUCGCUUUCUCGUCCUGCUGGUGUGAGGAGGUUGUUCCGCACACUCGGUUCCCGCCGGCUCCCUCCCCUGAAUCCCUGCAACCGCCGCUGCGAAGAUGGCGCCCGGAGUGCAAGUUGCUGAUGAAGUAUGUCGCAUUUUUUAUGACAUGAAAGUUCUGGAAAUGCUCCACACCUGAGGAAAUUAAAAAAGAAAGAAGGCUGUCAUUUUUUGUCUCAGUGCAGACAAAAAGUGCAUCAUUGUUGAAGAAGGCAAAGAGAUCCUAGUUGGAGAUGUGGGUGUGACCAUCACUGAUCCCUUCAAGCAUUUUGUGGGGAUGCUUCCUGAAAAGGAUUGUCGCUAUGCCUUGUAUGAUGCAAGCUUCGAGACCAAGGAGUCCAGGAAAGAAGAGCUGAUGUUCUUUUUGUGGCAUCAAACACGAAUGUCAAGCAAAUGGGCGGAAGACCUCAAGCGAGCUUGUAUUGCCGAAAAGCUGGGUGGGUCCUUGAUUGUAGCCUUGAAGGGUGCCCGUGUAGUGUCGUUCCAGUGCCACAGCGAAAGCUUCUGUGUUUAAUGUUACCCUCUUGCUCCAUAAGUAAAGCAGAUGCAUUUAUGCCAGGGUCUCACUGAGGGAGCUGUCUUGUCAUCUUUGAGUAAAUAUUCUAUAAACCUGUGCAAACGGCGCGGCCCUAAAUAAACCUAGCAUCAAAGUGUAAUUGGUGUGAAAUGAAAUUCUUACUGGCCAAAUGCCUGUUUUGAUGAGUUGACUUACAAAGAUUUUUGUUAAAGCUCAGGAUUUUUAAUAAAGCUCAGGAUUUUUAAUAACAGUUCACAAAACAGUAUAGAUAUAGAGGCCAUAUGAAGAGAAUCAUUCUGUCUUUCAUUAACCUCAGCAGUUACUUUCUUUUGUUUGAAAAUUGAUUACAAUCUGGUUAUAAUUUUGGCCCAGAAUUAUUCUUCUUGACCCACACAGAAUGGGUUGUCCUCCCCUAACGUGUACCCACACUAACCCACUAGCAGCAGUGAGUCUCAGGCAGCCUUUAGUUCUCCCAGAAGUCGCAUCUACUGUGACUCACCCUGAUCUUGCAAAGCCUGCCUCGAGUGGCACAGCUGUCCCCGCACCUGGGGCUGCAGGCUCUCACCUUGUAUCUUGGGAAUUGUGGUGUGGCUUCAGAAGAUGGGGACUAAUUCUAAUGCAAAUUAGCGCUCAGGAACUGUACUCUGCUUUCUAAUGAAAAUGCUUCAACCGGCAGUAUCUAGGUAGGCUAGGACAUCUCACACCUGCGUCUCCUUCAGAGCUGCAGCACCCCGUAUGAUAUGAUGGCAAGAACACUUGAGUGUUUCUUCCAGGGCCUAGGAGAACUUUGUUUCCUAGAGCAGUGUGUCACUUGUGUGGAGUGGGGAGCUGGUACCUAGUGACUGCGCAGAUGUGAUUGUCCUUAACACCACAGGCAUGACAUUUGAACAAGAGAAAUGCACAGUCUUAGAAGUAGCAGUUACUGGCUUUAUGUAAUAAAGGAAGCAUUUUUAACUUCUCUGGUGUCAUCAUUCACAUGUGAGUUGGGGAUGGAGGGGUUUUACCUUCCACAAGGGGAUUCUGGGGGUUUCGCAUGGGUGACUCAGCUUCUACCUUCUCUGAUUGAAAGAGGAAGCUGGUAUAAAAGUUGGGAACCUUUUUCUUAGUAGUGUUUAAUGCAAGGCUAGGCUUUGGGAGGCAAAAAAGGUCAUGCUUUCAUCAAAAUAUCUUUCAAGACUUGCUAAGCGCAAGGACCCAAGUUCAAUCCCCGGUACAAAAAAAAAAAAAAGACUGGCUGGAAAAGUGCUGGCUGCUUGCCAUUCUCCCAUCUGGAACUGAACACUGCUCUGUGAUGUGUGUAAACAGGCCCCAGGGAAGCAUCUGGCCAGGCUGCCCUGCUCCCCUGCCCGCCGCCUCAGGCCGUGUCCCUCAGGAGGCGCUGUGGGCUGAGUGCAGGCGCUUGGCUGGGGGGCUUCUGUGCAGCAUUCAGGGAGGUAACACAAAGUCAGCAUCUCCCACACCCCUUUUCCUGCAAAAGUAGUGGGUGCCGGAGGUUACUUUCAGUUCUCUGCGUGGAUACUGGCAGGGGCUGGGGGCCCAGACACUGUUGCCAACCUCCUGGUGACCUGAGCAGCAUGAAGUUGUGGACCAAAAAGGUCCAGGUCCACCCCACUUCCAGGGCACUUCAACACCCUUACAGGCUGGCGCAUUAUGGAAACGAGCCUGUGGACAGGUUGUGGCUCUGCACGCCUGGAGGUGGGCGUGGACCAGGUACUGAGCUCAGGUCUCCUGCCUUGUGGGUUGGGGGCGGCCUAGGUGGGAGCCAGGCUCAGCCUGACCGGCAGAGUGGCCUUGAAGGACUGUUAAAGGAACUUGGCCAGUCAGGUCACUUAGUUUACAAGUGGCGGAACUGGACAAAGACAGGGUUCUGAGCAGUUCUCGCCACCUCUAGAUGGUUCAGGUUUGAGUCUAACAUCUGGAAUUUGGAGGUCAGCGCUCAGUACCAUGUGCGCCACUUCAGGGAUAGAACUGCUAGCCUGAGCAACAACAAGGAACUGGGGGAGUCAUCAGGCUACAGCCCUGUCCAACCCAAUAUUGCCCACAGCCUUACUGGCGUCCCUGUCCUCUCCCAGGCUGUGAGGGCCACUUGCCAAGCCAGUGUCCUGUCCUGUGCCUUUCAGUGAGUACC
rnacentral:lncRNA from 1 species